UACGGAGGGUGCGAGCGUUAAUCGGAAUAACUGGGCGUAAAGAGCUCGUAGGUGGUUUGUCGCGUCGUCUGUGAAAUUCCGGGGCUUAACUCCGGGCGUGCAGGCGAUACGGGCAAACUGGAGUGCUGUAGGGGAGACUGGAAUUCCUGGUGUAGCGGUGGAAUGCGCAGAUAUCAGGAGGAACACCGAUGGCGAAGGCAGGUCUCUGGGCAGUUACUGACACUGAGGAGCGAAAGCAUGGGUAGCGAACAGG
rnacentral:rRNA from 1 species